AGAGUUUGAUCAUGGCUCAGAUUGAACGCUGGCGGCAGGCCUAACACAUGCAAGUCGAGCGGAUGAAGGGAGCUUGCUCCUGGAUUCAGCGGCGGACGGGUGAGUAAUGCCUAGGAAUCUGCCUGAUAGUGGGGGAUAACGUCCGGAAACGGGCGCUAAUACCGCAUACGUCCUGAGGGAGAAAGUGGGGGAUCUUCGGACCUCACGCUAUCAGAUGAGCCUAGGUCGGAUUAGCUAGUUGGUGGGGUAAAGGCCUACCAAGGCGACGAUCCGUAACUGGUCUGAGAGGAUGAUCAGUCACACUGGAACUGAGACACGGUCCAGACUCCUACGGGAGGCAGCAGUGGGGAAUAUUGGACAAUGGGCGAAAGCCUGAUCCAGCCAUGCCGCGUGUGUGAAGAAGGUCUUCGGAUUGUAAAGCACU
rnacentral:rRNA from 1 species